AAGGCAGAGUUGAAUGAGUUUGGCUUACUGGCACAAUCCAAGGAAGCAUUUGAGCAGUCACCAAGAGGAUUAAGUGGCGAAGGAGCAGUUGAGAAGGAAACUAACUUAACCUCUUUAGAUGGUUCACCUGAGUCCAGAGCUCCAACUGACUGCACCCAUCAUGAGGAGGAGGCAGUAGAAGAAGGUGUCGAGGCAGUCAAGGAACUUAAAGGUAUUGCUGAAACAAUGGAUACCGGGGAAACUGCAUCAGAUACUGGCACUAGUCAACAAGAAUUAUUGAGUGGCUACGCUAACGCUGUCAGGAAUAGUGAGACUAUUAUUUCAAAUGAAGAAAUCAACCAAGCAGAAAACACAUCCAUGAAUAAGAGUAAGUUUCAAAUCAUAAGUGAUUUAGUGUACAUAAAACAGUUUUUCCCCUGUAACUUCUUCAUUGUUUUCCAGAAGCACAUCCUCAAGUGCCUCUGGAGCUUUCAUCUAACAUGAUUGGGCAAAAAAGUGCAAUUCAUCUAUGUAUUCAUAUUCUUGAACUUCUCAUGUAGAUGAUUCAGAUGAAACUGAAGUCCAUACAACCGAUCAUAGAGAUGUCAGAAAAGAAACCAAUCUCAAUGGAGAAAUGGAAGUUGAAACUAUUGACGCCAUUAACCAGAAUGCAGCUGCCAUCUUACCCAAAAAUGUCAGGGAAGAAAAGAUUAGCAAAGGUUAGUUUUACCCGUUUCAUUCAACAUGAUGCAAAGUGUGCUUCCUCUGCCCUUAAAGGUUUUUUUUUUUAUAUUGUUCUUAGGGGUUGAUCAAGAUAAGAAAGUAGAGGGGAUAACUAGCAAGUUUGGAUCAGAUACUCAAAGCAUUGAAAUCACUUUUCUUAGAUUGGCGAAGGCCUUCAAUGAGCCAACCUCUACAGCUGAUAUAGGUGAAAAAGUGGGUCGAUAUACUGUUACACCAAGUUUGGCACCGAUUUUAAAAUUGAUCAUCGAGAGACAUGGUGACAUUGCCCUACAUUGUACACUCUCUGAUCGUAUCUGUUGUAGUAUAUUGGUUGAAAUCUGCAAAACAGUUGAGAAUCUUCAAGGCAUACCCUUUGCUAAAAUCCAAGUUCAUCAUCUCAACUCUCUGGCUGCAAUUAUAGCCGAUGCUGAGCAUGUUAAUAUUAGAGUUGAUUGGCUUCAAAACAGGCACGACAAACUCAAGGAGACUAUACUUAUGCUUAAUCAAUACCAGUCUUUAAAGUGUAGUUUACAAGAGAAGGAUGAAUUCAUCACAUCCACAAAGGAAGCAAUUGCUAUGAAGAAAGCUGAAAUAGUGAAGAUUCAGUCUGAUUGUCAGUAUCUAGAAAGCCAGCGAGAUUCGAUGGUACUAGAAAUUGAGAAGGUUAAUGGUGUUAUAAACACCGUUUUGUCCAAGUAUAUAUUUUUCAACCAAAAAUUUCUGGAUGGACUGUGUUAGGUUCCUUUGGUCACCCUUUUUCCUGAUGUUUUAUGUGAGAAAGCAUCUUCACAUAUUGAAGGUGAAUCUUCUGUACAUUUUGGCAUCCAGAUAUGCCUUUAUUUGAAGUAAAAUGGUAUAAAGAGAUCUUGUUUUCAAGAAAGCUGGCAGGAUGAAGCCAUAACAAGGCAUUUUAGCAUUAGCCCGAGGCUCAAAACCGGACAAAGAAUUGAGCAAAUCUGCCUGCUAAUGACUCUUUUAGAAGUAGUUUUAAUUAAUCUGCACAUUUUGAUUCAGAUUCUCCUAGUUCGCCUUUCUACUGUAUUUACUGUUGGUUACAUAUUGAUGUGUAUGAAAAUGUUCUUGACUAGUAAAAGAACUCUUUUGGAAGAAUAGAAUAUUGGGAUUUUUAAAAUCUGCUUUUGAUGCUGCCAACAAAUAUUUGAGCUUCAUUGUUUGUGGUUGAAAUGAAGCGUCAUCAAUUUUAUUUCCUCCCUCCUUUAGUCCAAUCAUGUUGAGUAUUGUUAUUAAAUUUUCUGUCAUGAGAAGGGAUUCAUGUUGAGAAUUGUUAGUUGAACUACACUUGUUUUCACAGGCUUGGAUCACAGAGAUGGCUUCUUAUUUGAAAUCUGUUGAUAGAAAGCAUUUACUAGAAGUUGGUUUGGAAGGGUUUUAUGGAGAGUCUGCACCUAAGGAGAAGCAAUUCAAUCUAAAAUUUAAACUAGGAACAGAUUUCAUUGCAAAUAAUAACAUCCAUGGCAUUGAUUUCAUUACGAUUCACUUGUAUCAUGAUCAAUGGUAACGCUUCCUUCCGACACUUUACAGAUUUAUGAUCGAUCAUGUACACAUGGAAAAAAAAACAUAGUUUCAUGUUCUUCCUCGAAAUGCCCAAUACAUUCUUUGAUUCAAAACCCUUGAAAGGGUAUGUUUAAUUAUUAUUUUCUAGACACAGAAAAUCAACUUAAAUACUCUUUACUGCACCAGACGUUUUGUCAACUAGCUCUAAAAUUAUUAUAUACGAAAGUGUUAUGUUGGCAGUGUGGAUUACAAGGUGCAGUCCAAGAACCCAUAUCCUUCAUAGACAUUUCAUCAAACAGAAAAGCUGCAUUUUCAGUCUUUUAGAAUCCAGAUGGGUUGAUUAUACUUUUUUAAGGCAAAAGUGACCACAAUGAACAAAUCCAAAUUAUCUUUAUUCUUAUGUCUUUUUUCAACAAUUUUUGACCAGCAAAUUCAAACUGUUUUUGAGAUUAUUUCAACAAUCAUAAAUUCAUAACAAUCAAACUAUUGUAAGAUUCUGAAUAAUCCAAAUAGUCAUUGGUCUUAAACUUUGAAACCACCGAAAGGUGUAAUUUUUGGAUCUAAUAAAGAAAUUUUAUGCAUUUAUAUAGAAAAUUGUUUACCAAUAAUGUAAUCAAAAUAACAGUUCAUAUAAAUGUGAGCCAAAAUAGAGAGAGAGAGAGAGAGAGAGAGAGUGACCGAACUUGUAUAGGUAAACAGCUUCUCUUCCAAAUCCGUUCAAUUCGACCUAGAUUCUGAACUUGUAUCGGUCUAUUUUGGCUGAAAAUGAGAGAACGCACAUCGACGAAGCUCCUAUGUUUUUAUCUGAUUCCUUCGCUAGGUCGAAAUCAUGAGAGAACGCACAUCGACGAAGCUGCGAUUUGUUGCUUGCACCGAAUCGGGUCAGGGGCAGGGACAUGUUUUGGCUGAGAGAGAAGAAAUCAACCAGGGCAGCAGGGCUUCGUUUUACUUUCGACUUGCUUUGGCGCUUGCAGAGAAUCGAAUUUUAGAGAAUCGGAUUUUUGAAAAUGAGAGAGAAAUAAGAGGGGAGGG
rnacentral:lncRNA from 1 species